rnacentral:ncRNA from 1 species
CGUAUCGGAUAUGCGUGAGCAAUCACGCGAAACUCGCCCGCAAUCCCGGCAUCACCGCGCAAGCGGUGUGGCGACUUCUUCAAAUGCUGCGCAAGGCAGCACUUCU